rnacentral:sRNA from 1 species
GACGCGGGCGGCGAACGUCCGGCAGCGCGUUGCGCCCCCGGGCGCGUUUUGUG